AUGUCGGCUCGUCACAUCCUGGGGCUGGAGAAGGUCCCAAGGGUUGGGCUGUUCGCCCAUUAAAGUGGCACGCGAGCUGGGUUCAGAACGUCGUGAGACAGUUCGGUCCCUAUCUGUUGUGGGCGUUAGAAAUUUGCGAGGAUCUGACUCUAGUACGAGAGGACCGGGUUGGACUAACCUCUAGUGUAUCUGUUGUGGCGCCAGCUGCAUUGCAGAGUAGCUACGUUGGGCAGGGAUAAGUGCUGAAAGCAUCUAAGCACGAAGCCUACCUCAAGAUGAGAUUUCUUUAAAGGGUCGUAGGAGACGACUACGUUGAUAGGCCACAGAUGUAAAGGCAGUGAUGUCAAAGUCGAGUGGUACUAAUUACCCAUAAGCUUAUGAAU
rnacentral:rRNA from 1 species